rnacentral:rRNA from 1 species
AUUGAACGCUGGCGGCAUGCCUUACACAUGCAAGUCGAACGGUAACAGGUCUUCGGAUGCUGACGAGUGGCGAACGGGUGAGUAAUACAUCGGAACGUGCCCAGACGUGGGGGAUAACGAGGCGAAAGCUUUGCUAAUACCGCAUACGAUCUAAGGAUGAAAGCAGGGGACCGCAAGGCCUUGUGCGUUUGGAGCGGCCGAUGGCAGAUUAGGUAGUUGGUGGGAUAAAAGCUUACCAAGCCGACGAUCUGUAGCUGGUCUGAGAGGACGACCAGCCACACUGGGACUGAGACACGGCCCAGACUCCUACGGGAGGCAGCAGUGGGGAAUUUUGGACAAUGGGCGAAAGCCUGAUCCGGCAAUGCCGCGUGCAGGAUGAAGGCCUUCGGGUUGUAAACUGCUUUUGUACGGAACGAAAAGGCUCUGGCUAAUACCUGGGGCACAUGACGGUACCGUAAGAAUAAGCACCGGCUAACUACGUG